UACGGGAGGCAGCAGUGGGGAAUAUUGCACAAUGGGCGCAAGCCUGAUGCAGCCAUGCCGCGUGUAUGAAAAAGGCCUUCGGGUUGUAAAGUACUUUCAGUCGUGAGGAAGGUGUUAAGGUUAAUAACCUUAGCAAUUGACGUUAGCGACAGAAGAAGCACCGGCUAACUCCGUGCCAGCAGCCGCGGUAAUACGGAGGGUGCGAGCGUUAAUCGGAAUUACUGGGCGUAAAGGGCACGCAGGCGGUUAAUUAAGUUGGAUGUGAAAUCCCCGGGCUUAACCUGGGAAUGGCAUUCAAGACUGGUUAGCUAGAGUCUUGUAGAGGGGGUAGAAUUCCAUGUGUAGCGGUGAAAUGCGUAGAGAUGUGGAGGAAUACCGGUGGCGAAGGCGGCCCCCUGGACAAAGACUGACGCUCGAUGUGCGAAAGCGUGGGGAGCAAACAGGGAUUAGAUACC
rnacentral:rRNA from 1 species